rnacentral:rRNA from 1 species
UACGAAGGGUGCAAGCGUUAAUCGGAAUUACUGGGCGUAAAGCGCACGUAGGUGGUUUGUUAAGCCAGCUGUGAAAUCCCCGGGCUCAACCUGGGCACUGCAGUUGGAACUGGCAAGCUAGAGUAGGGUAGAGGGGUGUGGAAUUCCAGGUGUAGCGGUGAAAUGCGUAGAUAUCUGGAGGAACAUCAGUGGCGAAGGCGACACCCUGGACUCAUACUGACACUGAGGUGCGAAAGCGUGGGGAGCAAACAGG